rnacentral:rRNA from 1 species
CCUACGGGUGACUGCAGUGAGGAAUAUUGGGCAAUGGGGGCAACCCUGACCCAGCCAUGCCGCGUGAGUGAAGAAGGUCUUCGGAUUGUAAAGCUCUUUCGGACGUGACGAUGAUGACGGUAGCGUCUAAAGAAGCACCGGCAAACUUCGUGCCAGCAGCCGCGGUAAUACGAAGGGUGCGAGCGUUGUUCGGAAUUACUGGGCGUAAGGGGAGUGUAGGCGGAUAUGUAAGAUAGCGGUGAAAUGCCGGGGCUCAACCCCGGAACUGCCAUUAUGACUAUGUAUCUAGAGUAAUGGAGAGGAUAGCGGAAUACCCAGUGUAGAGGUGAAAUUCGUAGAUAUUGGGUAGAACACCGGUGGCGAAGGCGGCUAUCUGGCCAUGUACUGACGCUGAGGCACGAAGGCCAGGGGAGCGAAAGGGAUUAGAUACCUAGUAGUC